rnacentral:rRNA from 1 species
CUACGGGGCGCACCAGUGGGGAAUAUUGCACAAUGGGCGCAAGCCUGAUGCAGCCAUGCCGCGUGUAUGAAGAAGGCCUUCGGGUUGUAAAGUACUUUCAGCGGGGAGGAAGGGAGUAAAGUUAAUACCUUUGCUCAUUGACGUUACCCGCAGAAGAAGCACCGGCUAACUCCGUGCCAGCAGCCGCGGUAAUACGGAGGGUGCAAGCGUUAAUCGGAAUUACUGGGCGUAAAGCGCACGCAGGCAGUUUGUUAAGUCAGAUGUGAAAUCCCCGGGCUCAACCUGGGAACUGCAUCUGAUACUGGCAAGCUUGAGUCUCGUAGAGGGGGGUAGAAUUCCAGGUGUAGCGGUGAUAUGCGUAGAGAUCUGGAGGAAUACCGGUGGCGAAGGCGGCCCCCUGGACGAAGACUGACGCUCAGGUGCGAAAGCGUGGGGAGCAAACAGGAUUAGAUACCCCAGUAGUC